rnacentral:tRNA from 1 species
GCCGAGAUGGCGAAAUUGGUAGACGCACAGGCUUCAGGUGCCUGCGGUGACUUGUCACUGUGCCGGUUCGAAUCCGGCUCUCGGCACCA